rnacentral:misc_RNA from 1 species
GUAACCAUGUGAAGGAAAUGUAAACAGUUGAAUCGUGCUAACAUUUUUCGAAGCCGAUUUUCAGCCGGCAGUUACCUGGUCGUGGUGAGCCUCGCUGAAUUGCUUCCAAGAUAGCUGUGCACACUGUUGUUGUUCCAAAAAGCUGCUUUCAUUUUUCGUUCUCGCCUUUUCUCUUUCCUAUUAUUUUGCGUCCUUCAUCCAUUUUUAUUUUACAAAGUGACCGCACUUUCACUCAACGUGAAGAGUUGAAUCCCGUGGAUAUAUAUAUAUCCACGUCGUAUAUAAUUUCUUACAAUGACAGACUCGCAAAAGACAAGUUUCCGAACAAAACGUAUUGUAAGCAAACCUUUGUGAUAUAUGACAACCUCGUCAUCUGAUGAAGCCCUUAAGCGACAGAGAAUGGCAAAGGCAGUAGAUAUUGAUGAUGAUAUCAAUGAUCUUCGAAGAAUGAUGAAAUAAGAUGCUGAACGAUGCAACGAUGCCUUAUUGCAUAGUUUUAUGCAACCAAAUUGUAAUGCGCAACAACAAUCUGACCUGUGCACUUAGUUAAAAAUAAUGGAGCCACAACCACACUCAUACUCGCAGUCACAAAUACGAUCAGAGUUGUACACAUAUUCGGUGCCACAAACACACUCCGAUCUACACACUCACUCGCAUCCACAAACAGUAGCAGAGCUAAACACACACUUGCAGCCACAAACAGUAGCAGAGUUACACACACACUCGCAGCCACAAACAGUAGCAAAGCUACACACACACUCGCAGCCAGUAACAGUAGCAGAGCUACAUACACACUCGCAGCCAGAAACACAGCUAGAUACACACUCACAGCAUGAAAAUGACUCCAAUACAUACACACAUUUACAACAGCGAAUGGGCCCAUAUGGCCAAGCAACAAACAGUCCCAACUAACGUACAGAGGAAGGGAGACAGCAGCAUGUAUGGACAUACUUAUCACAACUUUGCGCAGGCUGGAGACAGGACAAAUAAUAGGAGAGAUGGGGUGCGUUCGGGGAGCACGCUAUUCGCACAAUAAGUAUCUAAGACCGUUCGAGGAGACGCUUUGUGGCGCUAUAAAAUCGAUAAUGACAUCACUCUCAAAGCAGCGUGACGUCAUUAUUCGCGCAAUUUUUCGCUAUCAUUUUCGAGGUAGGGCAGCAAAUGCUAUUAGCGCUAAUUGGCGCUUAUUCUUUCCUCGAACGUUCGAUUGUGCUUUAAAGUGUUAGUCUAUGAUCUGUUCUUUUUAACUGCUGUUCUUUCAACCAAUUACAACAGUGCAACCAGAAAGAACAAACCAAUUGCGUCAAAAGUCAAAUAAAGACAAUUUAUUAAACUGUGAGAAACUGUAUUCACAAUGGCUCAACCACUUAGUUAAAUAUCUGAAAAUGUCGAAAUUCAUCUUUUAGAUGAAAACGAUGUGACAUACACAAUAAAAGUAUCGCCAAAUGAUGCAGCGCGUGCAGAAAAUGAUACGAUAUUUACUACUUAUCUUCUAGAAAGAACAAAAUCACAAGAUUCAGAUUUUGAUGCAGCAAGUCUGUCAAUGGAGUCUUCCAAUUCUGAGGAUAAUAAUGAAUCAAUGUUUAAAUGGUCUCAUGCGGCAAUUCUAUUGCUGGUAGAAAAGUAUCGGCUGCAAAAAAAUAACAUUGUAUCGGGUAAAAUAUCCCAGAAAAAAGUAUAGAAUAAUAUUGCAUCAGCAUUAUUUGUUAAAGGCUAUAAUGUCACUGAACCUCAAUGUCUUUCAAAAUUUCACGGAAUGAAACGAACUUAUAAAUCUAUAAAAGAUCACAAUAGCAAAUCAGGGAAUAAUCUUAGAACAUGGCCUUAUAUGGAAGUCAUGGAAUCUUUGCUUGGUGAACGACCUAUUAUGUCGUCUCCAGCAAUAGCCUCUUCAAGCAGUAUGUGUUCUAAUUCUAGAUCUAAUAAAGAAUCUAACUUAUCAAAUGCAAAUAUAUGUAACAAUGCAAACUCAAGUAAUAAAAAUUUAAGCUAUUCAAAUUGUCAGAAGCGCAAGGCACAAGAAAGUACAUCAAACAUUGCUGAAUCAAUUUUACAAAGUCGGAAAUUGGCUGAGAACAAUAGUGAUCAGAGGCACAAAGAAAACAUGGACUUUGAAAAGCAAAUGCUAAAAUUCAUGAGUAAAAUUUUAGACAAAUUAUAAAUGUUUUUAUUUUAAUUUACAUGCAACAAAGAUAAAACGAAGUUGUAGUACAAAUUAUAAGAUUGUUUCCUUUGUUUUUGAUAAAACAUGUACCAUUUAUUUUCUUGUUUACUUCUUUUAGUACAAUUAAUAUUUUAUUUAGUUUUGUAAAAUAUAGUAUAGUAGCUGGUACAUCUAUUAUACUGCGUUCUGUCUUCCUUAAUAUUUUAAACAUAUUCUUAAAAUUUGCUUUAUUUUUUAAUAUUAAUAAUUAAUAUUAAGUUUAUACACAUAAGUAUUCACUAAUGUCUUCCCAUUGUAAUUUGAAUUAUUUUGACGAUUUUCAACUUUAUGCCUAUACAUACAUAUUUUUAUAAUAUAGUUAAUUAGUUAGAUAAAGUUAUUACGUAAACAUGGUCAUAGACGCAACGCAUAAAGUUGUGAAAAUCGUACAAAUAACAGUUAUAAUAGCAAGAGAUUAAUAACUUCCUGUGUACAUCUGUGAUAAAUUGAAUAAUGAUUAAAUGCAUAAGUGAUACUUAAUGUUAAGAACACUGAUAUAUAAAAUAAGAUUUUUCUUUCUAUGUUGGAACAAUUAAAAUGUUUGGUAAAUAUUUCUGAUGAAAGUUAUGUGGAACAGAAUUACUACAUUCAGUUAACUUAAUUAGUCUAUUAUAACAAAAUUAAUCAAUCAUAUUGAUCAGAAAAAUAAAUUGGUUCAUUAAU